CCUUGCUUCAGAGCUUUAUGAGUAAGGUCCCCAUGGCCUCAGAAGUCCUCUAGGAGUUCUGAGCCUCCGAGCCUGUGGCUCUGCCUAGAGGUGGGGAACUGCACAGCUCUGCCAGCUCUACAUCCAGAUAUGUGUAGUCAGGAUAAAUAAAAACGCAACCACUGUGGUAAAGUCUUGGGAAGGUUUUGUGCAUUGGAAGGAGCAUCUCAUGUAUGGAAAGAUUGGUAACCACAGGUUGGAUGCAUUCCUCAGUAGAAGCAUGCACCUCUCUGACGGUUUAAAGAGGAAGGCAGAUUAGAGAGAGGUAUUUGACCUUCAGAAACAGCCAGUUAAAGCAGAAGCCCCAGCUGGUGAUAAUAAUAGUAGUGGUUGAAGAAACAGAGGUACACACAGGUGAGGAAGACAGUGAUUGGUGAGUCACGAUGCAAACCCAGGCAGCCGGAUUCCAGACCUCCACAUAGCCAAGUAUUGCACCAGAUGAAAUAGCUCUAGUGGUGGUGCCAGUUCUUUCUGAUGGAAAUAAAAU
rnacentral:lncRNA from 10 species